CCGGGUGUGGUGGCUCACGCCUGUAAUCCCAGCACUUUGGGAGGCCGAGGCGGGUGGAUCACGAGUUCAGGAGAUUGAGACCAUCCUGGUCAACACGGUGAAACCCCUUCUCUACUAAAAUACAAAAAUUUAGCUGGGCAUGGUGGCGCGUGCCUGUAGUCCCAGCUACUCGGGAGGCUGAGGUGGGAGGAUCGCUUGAGCCCAGGAGGUCGAGGCUGCAGUGAGCCAGGAUCAUGCCACUGCACUCCAGCCUGGGUGACAAAAUGAGACCCUCUCUUAAAAAAAAAAUAGGUGGAGUUAGCAAUAGAGAAGGUUCUAGUAGUAUAUCAUCCAGUACCAACCCUUGCCCCUGAAGUGGAUUCAUCAGGAAGCAUAAAUGUUCCAUGGCAUAGUGGGCCCCUUCAAAGGCAACGUGUUCACAUGGUCAUGUUUUUAUAACAUUUGCAAAACUAAUACUUCCCUUCCUUGUACUGAGUGGCAUUGAAGAUGGCCAUG
rnacentral:lncRNA from 1 species